CCUACGGGUGGCAACAGUAGGGAAUCUUCCACAAUGGGCGAAAGCCUGAUGGAGCCACGCCGCGUGGGUGAAGAAGGUCUUCGGAUCGUAAAACCCUGUUGUUAGAGAAGCAAGUGCGUGAGAGUAACUGUUCACGUUUCGACGGUAUCUAACCAGACAGCCACGGCUAACUACGUGCCAGCAGCCGCGGUAAUACGUAGGUGGCAAGCGUUAUCCGGAUUUAUUGGGCGUAAAGGGAACGCAGGCGGUCUUUUACGUCUGAUGUGAAAGCCGUCGGCUUAACCGGAGUAGUGCAUUGGAAACUGGGAGACGUGAGUGCAGAAGAGGAGAGUGGAACUCCAGGUGUAGCGGUGAAAUGCGUAGAUAUAUGGAAGAACACCAGUGGCGAAAGCGGCUCUCUGGUCUGUAACUGACGCUGAGGUUCGAAAGCGUGGGUAGCAAACAGGAUUAGAUACCCUGGUAGUC
rnacentral:rRNA from 1 species